rnacentral:rRNA from 1 species
GUGCCAGCCGCCGCGGUAAUACGAAGGGGGCUAGCGUUGCUCGGAAUUACUGGGCGUAAAGCGCACGUAGGCGGCCAUGAUAGUCAGAUGUGAAAGGCCUGGGCUCAACCCGGGAAUUGCAUUUGAUACUGCAUGGCUAGAGUCCAAGAGAGGGUAGUGGAAUUCCCAGUGUAGAGGUGAAAUUCGUAGAUAUUGGGAAGAACACCAGUGGCGAAGGCGGCUACCUGGCUUGGUACUGACGCUCAGGUGCGAAAGCGUGGGGAGCGAACAGGAUUAGAUACCCUUGUAGUCC